GUGUAUGUGGUGUAAGUCAACACAUUAGCUUUUCAUGCUAAUAAUAUACAUCCGUAUUAUACACA
rnacentral:tRNA from 1 species